CAUGCACAGGUGGGGUCCCUCGGCCUGGCCUGUGCCCGCUUACAAUCCUGGACCCCUCAGGGGAUGUUGGACGAUUUUGGCUCUAUCCCUGCAGGCCAGGCUGAGGGACCCCACCAGUGCAUG
rnacentral:pre_miRNA from 1 species